UUUUUUUAACAUUUCUGAGGGGAAAAUGUUUUUAGUAUAACCUGCUCAAUGCUUUAGUAAAUAGCUGCAGUAUUUUGACUGUACAAAGGUAGCAUAAUCAUUAGUCUUUUGAUUGGAGGCUCGUAUGAAUGGUUGAACAGAAUAUUAACUUUUUUAAUUAUUCGAUGUUUUAAUUUAUAGUUUAUGUAAAAAUGCAUAGUUACUUGAAAGGGACGAUAAGACCCUAUAGAAUUUAAAAAUGUUCAUGAGAAAAUAUUGUAUUUUUUUGUUGGGGUGACAGUAAAUAAACUUUUAUGUAAUUCUCAUUGUUGAAUGUACAAUUGAUCCUAAUGUUUAGAUAAAAAGAUAAAAUUACCUUAGGGAUAACAGCAUGAUUUUUUUUAAAAGAUCUUAUUAAUAAAAAAGAUUAUGACCUCGAUGUUGAAUUAAAAUAAAAUUUUGGUGUAGAAGCUUAAUUUUUUAGUCUGUUCGACUUUAAAUUUUACAUGAUCUUGUUU
rnacentral:rRNA from 1 species